UCAAUAUUGACACGUUUCUUACGAAACCGUAUAAGAAAAAAUGAAGAUUGAAAAGAAAAAGAAAGAUUUGAAAAGAAUUGAAAAUUUGAUGAAUUUUUACAAAAAUUGAAGAUCAUUGAGUCUAAAAAAGUUCAAGGUUUUUAAAUUAUUAAUUUUAAGAUAUUAUCAAAUUACAAAAAAAAAAUUAACGGGAAUAAACAAGAAAAUUCAAAUAUCAACAUUUUAUUCUUCAUUCGUGUAAAACUUCAUUUGUUUGCUAAGAAACAUUAAAUAACAAUAGAAUUACCCGUAUAUAAAAUUACAAUGUGAACAUUAAAAAGAAGUAAGAAUUAUGUAAAUAAUUAAGCACAUUUUCGAAAAAAACAAAUAAAUACAUAUAUGAAUGACAACAAAAUUCUUGCGAUACUUAGUGAUCAUUAUUAUUAUUAAUUACUAUUAUAAAUAAUAAUGAAAAUAUUUCGAAUAAUUUUUGUAAAAUGAAUAAGUGCAAAAAUCCAAUAAUAAAAAUCCAAUAAUAAUAUUAUUAUUUAAUAAUAAUAAUAUUAUUAUAAUAAUAUUAAUAAUAAUAUUAUUUUGAUACUUAACUGUGCGAUAUCAUUCAUAAUAAAGUUGUAAUCAUUUGUGCAAUAAAAAUUAUAUAAUUAAUGUGUUCAACAACGAAAAUUAUACAUUAUUUACAUAUUUUUUGUAUGUAAAUUUUUAAAUAUUUAAUCAAUUAUAAGAUAAAUCACAAUAAAAAAAAAUAGAAAUAAAAUUUCAAAAUAUUGCAAUAUUUGAGAAAAUUUUUAAUCAAUAAUAUAUAUUAAAAUCGAAUUCAAAUUUAUAGAUUAUCAAUUGUAGAAAAUUAAAUCUUUUAACUUUUAUCACAUAACGAGUUGAACAUACAUGCAUUUAAAUAUGUUUUUCUUUUACAUUUGUGUAUAUUAUAUUAAAAUUUCUCGCAUACUAUCUCCUAAUAAUACUUUAAACUUACAUCCGACUAUGCGAUUGGCUAUCGAUAUUGGCAUAAUUUUCUUACAAUUAAAUUUGAAAGUGUUCGAUAAAUAUUUCUUAAUUAUAUUCAGUUUAACUUUUCAACUAUUUACUGAUUAAUAUACUAUGCAAA